UCGGAUUUGCUUUCAUUUUUUGCUCUUCCGUACCGGUCCUGUCCUUAUUUCUCUCUGGAUCCUGCCAUGGUUUGCAGACUUCUCGGCUUGGUGUCCCUUUGUCUCCUGGGAGCAAGUCACGUGGGUGCCACGGUCACCCAGAGCCCCAGAUACCGGAUUACCAGGACGGGGGAACCAGUGACCUUGACUUGUUCUCAGGACCUGAGUCACGACACCAUGUACUGGUACCAACAGAAGCUGAGCCAAGCCCCAAAGCUGCUGCUCUACUACUAUGACCAGAUACUUAACAAAGAAACAGACACCUCGGACAACUUCCAGCCCAGCCGGGCUAACACUUCCUUCUGCUCGCUGAGCGUGCGUGCGCCGGGCUUGGGCGACUCUGCCCUGUACCUCUGCGCGAGCAGCAAAGGCACAGAGGGAGAGCGCUGCCUCCCCGCCACUCACAAACCUGCUCCGGGCCCACGCACCCUCUCCAGACCUCGCUGGCCUCCCACAGCUGCCGUGGGAAGCGGGUUCCCACCUGUCAUCAUCCCCUGUGCAGAUGGGGGUUGGCGUAGACCUACAAAACCCUGGACGGUUACGCCAAGCGUGGAGACGUGGUUACACUCGCCCAGCAUUCAGUUGGUGGUGUUUUCCCAGAAUCACUUUAAUCCCCUGCUCUGUUCUCUGCAGUAG